GAGGCGCACAGCGCAGGCGCUGGCGCGGAGAGGCGCAGGCCCAGGUCCACUCCCCAGCUGUGAAAGGAGGAGCUCUACGGUGACUUUGAAGACUUGGAAACAGGGGACAUGCACAAGGGAAAAUCGGGCCCCGACACUCAGAAUGAAGAUAUAGAGAAACAAGGAAGAAAUUGACCCCGACGAAGAAGAAAGUGCCAAGAAAAAGCAUUUGGAUAAGAAGAGAAAAUUGAAGGAGAUGUUUGAUGCGGAAUAUGAUGAAGGAGAAAGCACAUAUUUUGAUGAUCUUAAAGGAGAAAUGCAGAAAGAAGCACAGGAGAAUGGGAGCAGAGGAACUGGAGGCUGCAACUGUGGAAAACUUUUGUGGGGUUUUGCUGCAGAGAGAAGCAGAGAAAUGAAGCAGUUUUUGGUGGAAGAAGUGGAAUCAAAAGGUUUUGAGCUGAAUCACGUAGAAUUUGAAGAUCAAGAUGAUGAAGCCAGAGUUCAGUAUGAUGGUUUUCGACCUGGGAUGUACGUCCGCGUUGAGAUUGAAAAUGUUCCCUGUGAAUUUGUGCAGAACUUUGACCCCCAUUACCCCAUUAUCCUGGGUGGCUUGGGCAACAGCGAGGGAAAUGUUGGACACGUGCAGAUGCGUCUGAAGAAACAUCGCUGGUAUAAGAAAAUCCUCAAGUCCCAAGAUCCAAUCAUAUUUUCUGUAGGGUGGAGGAGGUUUCAGACCAUCCUGCUCUAUUAUAUUGAAGACCACAAUGGAAGACAAAGGCUUCUAAAGUAUACCCCACAGCACAUGCAUUGUGGAGCAGCCUUUUGGGCCUGAUUUUCGGAUAGCUGCCACAGGAGUUGUCCUUGAUCUGGAUAAAUCCAUAAAAAUUGUGAAGAAAUUAAAGCUAACUGGUUUUCCAUAUAAAAUUUUCAAGAACACUUCAUUUAUUAAGAUAUUGUCUUCAUGCGAACUUGGUAUCCUGUUUCCAUCCCAGCCUUCUAUAACCCAGUAACAUCUUUGUUGAAACCAGUGGGUGAGAAAGACACCUGGUCAGGAAUGUGGACCACGGGCCACCUCGGGCUCGCCCAUGGUGUCAGACUAAAGACAAACAAGGACUCUCUGUAUAAGGUACUGGUCGUGUGUGUGUUAGUGGAGAUGAAGCCUGUGCCCUACAGACAGGGAGUCACGCAGACACUUUUCUAUAAUUUCUUACGUACUUUGAAUGUUCAAGUAUAAAGUCUAAUGUUAAAUUUGAUUGAACAAUUGUAUAUUUGUGGGAUAUUUUGGAAUGGAACACCAAAAAAUGGUAAUAGUGGUUCUUUCUGGAUUGAAGACAAACUUUUCUUUUUUAAAAUAAAUUUUAUUUUAUA
rnacentral:lncRNA from 1 species